AUUGCAGUUAUAAUCUGGCAACAAAGAAAGUUAAAGGCCAUUGGACACAAAAGUAAAGACACAAAUUCCAAAUGGAUCAAAAUGACUAUGGGA